rnacentral:rRNA from 1 species
GAUUUACUGGGUGUAAAGGGUGCGUAGGCGGCUUUGCAAGUCAGAUGUGAAAUCUAUGGGCUCAACCCAUAGCCUGCAUUUGAAACUGCAGAGCUUGAGUGAAGUAGAGGCAGGCGGAAUUCCCCGUGUAGCGGUGAAAUGCGUAGAGAUGGGGAGGAACACCAGUGGCGAAGGCGGCCUGCUGGGCUUUAACUGACGCUGAGGCACGAAAGCGUGGGUAGCAAACAGGAUUAGAUACCCUGGUAGUCCACGCUGUAAACGAUGAUUACUAGGUGUGGGGGGUCUGACCCCUUCCGUGCCGGAGUUAACACAAUAAGUAAUCCACCUGGGGAGUACGGCCGCAAGGUUGAAACUCAAAGGAAUUGACGGGGGCCCGCACAAGCAGUGGAGUAUGUGGUUUAAUUCGAAGCAACGCGAAGAACCUUACCAGGUCUUGACAUCCUACUAACGAGAUAGAGAUAUGUUAGGUGCCCUUCGGGGAAAGUAGAGACAGGUGGUGCAUGGUUGUCGUCAGCUCGUGUCGUGAGAUGUUGGGUUAAGUCCCGCAACGAGCGCAACCCUUGCUAUUAGUUGCUACGCAAGAGCACUCUAAUAGGACUGCCGUUGACAAAACGGAGGAAGGUGGGGACGACGUCAAAUCAUCAUGCCCCUUAUGACCUGGGCUACACACGUACUACAAUGGACAUUAACAGAGGGAAGCAAUACAGUGAUGUGGAGCAAACCCCUAAAAAUGUUCUCAGUUCAGAUUGCAGGCUGCAACCCGCCUGUAUGAAGAUGGAAUUGCUAGUAAUCGCAGAUCAGCAUGCUGCGGUGAUACGUUCCCGGGCCUUGCACUCACCGCCCG